rnacentral:rRNA from 1 species
UACGUAGGCAGCGAGCGUUGUUCGGAGUUACUGGGCGUAAAGCGUGCGUAGGCGGUUUUCCAAGUCUGGUGUGAAAUCUCCCGGCUCAACCGGGAGGGUGCGCUAGAAACUGGGAGGCUGGAGUGCGGGAGAGGUAGGCGGAAUUCCUGGUGUAGCGGUGAAAUGCGUAGAUAUCAGGAGGAACACCGGUGGUGUAGACGGCCUGCUGGACCGUGACUGACGCUGAGGCACGAAAGCGUGGGGAGCAAACAGGAUUAGAUACCCCCGUAGUCC